ACAACCCAAGAGGGGGGGUGAAUUGUGUUUUCUAAAAAUUAUGUUCCCUAAUUUUUACUUUGAAUAGAAUGCAGCGGAAUAAUAAGAUGUUAUUUACUUAAGCUCUAGGCAAUUACCAGUAAAGCAGUGGAAGAUUAAGCUAGAGCAAUUAUACUAUGGCUUUAGGGUGCAAUUGAUCUAAAAAUAACUUAUAGUUGUAUGAUCAAUUUUAAUCUAUGUGUAUGGUAAGAAUGGAGUGGAAGCUAAGCAAAUCACUUAUAACUCUAUAGAAAACAAAGCUAGAGAUAUUACACAAUCAAGCAUGAAUGGAAGGCAUGAAAUACAAGAGAUAAGGCAUCACAAACACAAAGAUGUAUAGUAGUUCGGUGCACCCCAGCACCUACAU
rnacentral:lncRNA from 1 species